rnacentral:rRNA from 1 species
GAUGAACGCUAGCGGCAGGCUUAAUACAUGCAAGUCGAGGGACAGCACAGGUAGCAAUACUGGGUGGUAACCGGCAAACGGGUGCGGAACACGUACACAACCUUCCUUUAAGUGGGGGAUAGCCCAGAGAAAUUUGGAUUAAUACCCCGUAAUAUAGUUGAAUGGCAUCAUUUGAUUAUUAUAGCUACGGCGCUUAAUGAUGGGUGUGCGGCUGAUUAGAUAGUUGGCGGGGUAACGGCCCACCGAGUCUACGAUCAGUAGCUGAUGUGAGAGCAUGAUCAGCCACACGGGCACUGAGACACGGGCCCGACUCCUACGGGAGGCAGCAGUAAGGAAUAUUGGUCAAUGAACGCAAGUCUGAACCAGCCAUGCCGCGUGAAGGAUUAAGGUCCUCUGGAUUGUAAACUUCUUUUAUUUGGGACGAAAAAGGGCCUUUCUAGGUCAACUGACGGUACCAGAUGAAUAAGCACCGGCUAACUCCAUGCCAGCCGCCGCGGUAAAAC